rnacentral:rRNA from 1 species
CGGCGGACGGGUGAGUAACACGUGGGUAACCUGCCUGUAAGACUGGGAUAACUCCGGGAAACCGGGGCUAAUACCGGAUGCUUGAUUGAACCGCAUGGUUCAAUCAUAAAAGGUGGCUUUCAGCUACCACUUACAGAUGGACCCGCGGCGCAUUAGCUAGUUGGUGAGGUAACGGCUCACCAAGGCGACGAUGCGUAGCCGACCUGAGAGGGUGAUCGGCCACACUGGGACUGAGACACGGCCCAGACUCCUACGGGAGGCAGCAGUAGGGAAUCUUCCGCAAUGGACGAAAGUCUGACGGAGCAACGCCGCGUGAGUGAUGAAGGUUUUCGGAUCGUAAAACUCUGUUGUUAGGGAAGAACAAGUACCGUUCGAAUAGGGCGGUACCUUGACGGUACCUAACCAGAAAGCCACGGCUAACUACGUGCCAGCAGCCGCGGUAAUACGUAGGUGGCAAGCGUUGUCCGGAAUUAUUGGGCGUAAAGCGCGCGCAGGCGGUUUCUUAAGUCUGAUGUGAAAGCCCCCGGCUCAACCGGGGAGGGUCAUUGGAAACUGGGGAACUUGAGUGCAGAAGAGGAGAGUGGAAUUCCACGUGUAGCGGUGAAAUGCGUAGAGAUGUGGAGGAACACCAGUCGGCGAAGGCGACUCUCUGGUCUGUAACUGACGCUGAGGCGCGAAAGCGUGGGGAGCGAACAGGAUUAGAUAUCCUGGUAGUCCACGCCGUAAACGAUGAGUGCUAAGUGUUAGAGGGUUUCCGCCCUUUAGUGCUGCA